CUAAAAUCAGCAUCUCCAUUAUUAGGCUUCAAUUCAGCGUUCAAUUCAUUCUUAUCCGAAAAGAAAAAGCCCAUCUACUUUUUACACACUCGUUUCUGUAGUCCCCUAGCUCCUAUAAAUAUCUUGUUGCAUUUCUUCAUCUUCAUGUGAAGAAUCAAAGCUCAAAGCAACAUCAUAUAUUUGGUACCAUACAAUAAUAUAGCGAGAGAAAUCAAGAAUGUCUGACAUCGCUAUGUUGGUGGCAGAAGAGUACGAGAGGAGGACCAAGAAUCUUAAUAACGAAUGUUGGCUUGUGGUAGGACAUAGCAGAUGUGGAACAAUAAGAUGUGCAGACAAAUCAGGCAGCCACCAAAAUCUUGUUGCCCCAGAAACUUGAUCUAUUAGAGACGUAAAAUGAGAUUAGAGUCGACACAUUCUGAUUGACUGAAUUCUAUCAUGUCUCAAGAAUGAGUGAAAUAAAAAGACAUGUUGCAUUGCUUACUGCUUGAGUCGAAAGGUGAAAGCUUGAAAUUCACACUUUUUACUAUAUGUAGUACACAUUUUUUGUCUCCCUAUUAAUGUGGGUAUCAUUAUCGAUAGAACAGACAAUAAUCAUGCCUUUUUGGUAAACGAGCGCAUGGCAGUUUUUGGCAGAGAACUUUGAAGCUAGUACUAACUCAGCAAGUUAUAUAAAGCUAGCUGUCAUGGGUUUGCAUAUUAUUUUGGUGCAUACAUG